AUUGAACGCUGGCGGCAGGCCUAACACAUGCAAGUCGAGCGAGCGGCGGACGGGUGAGUAAUGUCUGGGAAACUGCCUGAUGGAGGGGGAUAACUACUGGACACGGUAGCUAAUACCGCAUACCCUCAGAUGUGCCCAUAUGGGAUUAGCUAGUAGGUGGGGUAACGGCUCACAUAGGCGACGAGACCUAGCUGGUCUGAGAGGAUGACCAGCAACACGGGAACUGAGACACGGUCCAGACUCCUACGGGAGGCAGAAGUGGGGAAUAUUGCAAAAUGGGCUCAAGCCUGAUGAAGCCAGGCCGGGGGUGUGAAGAAGGCCUUCGGGUUGUAAAGCACUUUCAGCGGGGAGGCGUUACCCGCAGAAGAAGCACCGGCUAACUCCGUGCCAGCAGCCGCGGUAAUAC
rnacentral:rRNA from 1 species